rnacentral:rRNA from 1 species
UGCAGUCGAGCGGUAGAGAGAAGCUUGCUUCUCUUGAGAGCGGCGGACGGGUGAGUAAUGCCUAGGAAUCUGCCUGGUAGUGGGGGAUAACGUUCGGAAACGGACGCUAAUACCGCAUACGUCCUACGGGAGAAAGCAGGGGACCUUCGGGCCUUGCGCUAUCAGAUGAGCCUAGGUCGGAUUAGCUAGUUGGUGGGGUAAUGGCUCACCAAGGCGACGAUCCGUAACUGGUCUGAGAGGAUGAUCAGUCACACUGGAACUGAGACACGGUCCAGACUCCUACGGGAGGCAGCAGUGGGGAAUAUUGGACAAUGGGCGAAAGCCUGAUCCAGCCAUGCCGCGUGUGUGAAGAAGGUCUUCGGAUUGUAAAGCACUUUAAGUUGGGAGGAAGGGUUGUAGAUUAAUACUCUGCAAUUUUGACGUUACCGACAGAAUAAGCACCGGCUAACUCUGUGCCAGC